rnacentral:rRNA from 1 species
AACGAACGCUGGCGGCAGGCCUAACACAUGCAAGUCGAACGCGCGUAGCAAUACGCGAGUGGCGCACGGGUGAGUAACACGUGGGAAUCUACCCAGAGGUUCGGAAUAACCGCGGGAAACUGCGGCUAAUACCGGAUGUCCCCUACGGGGGAAAGAUUUAUCGCCUUUGGACGAGCCCGCGUCCGAUUAGCUAGUUGGUGAGGUAAUGGCUCACCAAGGCUACGAUCGGUAGCUGGUCUGAGAGGACGACCAGCCACACUGGAACUGAGACACGGUCCAGACUCCUACGGGAGGCAGCAGUGGGGAAUUUUGCGCAAUGGGCGAAAGCCUGACGCAGCAACGCCGCGUGAGUGAAGAAGGCCUUCGG